CAAGCGGUGGAUGAUGUGGAUCAAUUCGAUGCAACGCGAAGAACCUUACCUACCCUUGACAUGCCAGGGAGCCCGAUGAGAGUUGGGUGUGCCCGAAAGGGAGCCUGGACACAGGUGCUGCAUGGCUGUCGUCAGCUCGUGUCGUGAGAUGUUGGGUUAAGUCCCGCAACGAGCGCAACCCUUGUCACUAGUUGCUACGCAAGGGCACUCUAGUGAGACUGCCGGUGACAAACCGGAGGAAGGUGGGGAUGACGUCAAGUCCUCAUGGCCCUUAUGGGUAGGGCUUCACACGUCAUACAAUGGCGCAUACAAAGGGCUGCCAACCCGCGAGGGGGAGCCAAUCCCAGAAAGUGCGUCGUAGUCCGGAUUGCAGUCUGCAACUCGACUGCAUGAAGUCGGAAUCGCUAGUAAUCGCGGAUCAGCAAUGUCGCGGUGAAUACGUUCCCGGGUCUUGUACACACC
rnacentral:rRNA from 1 species